GUCCCCAUAGCUCAAUGGACAGAGCACCUGCCUUCUAAGCAGGAUAUGCAGGUUCGAUUCCUGCUGGGGGCA
rfam:Parcubacteria bacterium GW2011_GWA2_47_9 TY15_C0007, whole genome shotgun sequence.